rnacentral:sRNA from 1 species
ACUGGGCAUGGUAGUGCAUGCCUGUAAUCCCAGCAACAAUGGAGGCUCAGGCAAGAGGAUCACGAGUUCAAGGCCAGCCCCAGCAAAUUAGUGGGGCCUUCAGCAAUGUAGUGAGAUCCUGACUC